rnacentral:rRNA from 1 species
GACGAACGCUGGCGGCGUGCUUAACACAUGCAAGUCGAACGGAAAGGCCCUGCUUUUGUGGGGUGCUCGAGUGGCGAACGGGUGAGUAACACGUGAGUAACCUGCCCUUGACUUUGGGAUAACUUCAGGAAACUGGGGCUAAUACCGGAUAGGAGCUCCUGCUGCAUGGUGGGGGUUGGAAAGUUUCGGCGGUUGGGGAUGGACUCGCGGCUUAUCAGCUUGUUGGUGGGGUAGUGGCUUACCAAGGCUUUGACGGGUAGCCGGCCUGAGAGGGUGACCGGCCACAUUGGGACUGAGAUACGGCGCAGACUCCUACGGGAGGCAGCAGUGGGGAAUAUUGCACAAUGGGCGGAAGCCUGAUGCAGCAACACCGCGUGCGGGAUGACGGCCUUCGGGUUGUAAACCGCUUUCGCCUGUGACGAAGCGUGAGUGACGGUAAUGGGUAAAGAAGCACCGGCUAACUACGUG